CCUGCCCCCUAAAGACUUGCAGGUGUGGCUGCUGUGUCACAUGUGUGUCAGUAGGUGGCAGAGAGGACAGAGCCAUGUCUCUGCUCAGUGCUCUGACCUGUGAACGUAUGAAUGACUAGUAGCCUACAUU